ACAGCCCUGGACGCUGGGCAGCCUCCAGGGCCCCUCGCGCGCGCCAGUCUCUCGCACCGGUCAGUGCUCCUUCAGAAUUUGGGUAAUUUUAUGAGCUAUGAUUUUAUCCUGUGGAUCUCUUCAAGAAGUGAAAGUGGUCAGUGGUUGGAGUUUUUGGAUACUUCUGCUAUUCAAGCUAUUGGAUAACCUUACACCGAGAUGGGGCUGCGCGAGCCUUACGUGAACGCUAAGGUGACGCAGGCGUCGCAGUCUCCUUGGUGUCGUCGGCGAGCCAGCACCGCGCGCGGUGGACGCAGAGCCGCGGACACGUCAGGCACUAAGUGCCGUCCCACGCCGCGCCACGCCACGCCAGGCCGCGACAGCUGUAAGCACUGCAAGGAAGCUGCCGAGUGCCGCUCUGGACACGGCGUCGACUUUUCCCCCGGAGGAAGAGAAAAGUGUCACGGAGACGUCGCACUCCGCCACGCGGACGGGGCGGACGGGGCGGACGCGGCGGGGGUCACUGCCUGCCAGACGAGCCGGCGUGUUCCCGAUCAGCGACCUGCACUCUGUGACGGUGCACGUGCGUUUGAGUGAAGCGAAGUGAAGGCUUCCGCUGUGUUUCAGAAUGUGAUUGGUUGUUGCAGACGUCGGCGACGUUGGCGACGUCGGCACUGGCUGAGGCUCGGUGGCGGCAUUGGCGCGGACGGAGACGGCCACAUUCGUCGGCCACUCCUUGAACUAGCCGGACGACGGGGAUGAGGAGAAUCUUUCGAUAGAAAUCCCGGAUUUCAACGAGAGUAUUUUGACUAAUAAAGAGCUUUACCAGUAUGA